UGUGUGUGUUAAGAAAAAAUUAUAUAAUAAAAUUGCAAACCACAAGUAAAGCUCUAAAAAAUACACUCCUUAUUUGCAUGAAAGAAGUAAGUGCAGUACUAUACUAGAGAAGAAAGAACCAUUAAGCAAAUCAAGCUAGCAAGAUCAAGAUCUCAAAUAUCGAAUGACGUAAAUAGAUCCGCCUAGAUGAUAAGUUGCUUUCAAGCUUGUUGAUUAAUAAGAAAACUCAAUGAAGAUGAAUCUCAACAAUAAUAAUAAAAACAAGCACAAAUAAGAUAAAAAAUUAACAUGGAUUAUCACAAUUGGGUAUUUAGCAUACCCAAUUCAUCAAAAGAAGAAUUCCAUUCUUAUGCCUAAUUCUAUACAAAAUACUAUGGAAUUUCGCGAGGCAUAUCAGAUUAGAGGUGAUAGUAUAUAUAUUUGUGAGUAUCAGUGUGAUAGUGAGUGAGUGUGAGUGUGAGUGAGAGUGAGUGUGAGUGUGAGUGUGAGUGUGAGUGUGAGUGUGAGUGUAAGUGUGUGUGUGAGUGCGAAUGUGUGGAUGUGUGAAUGUGAGUAUGAGUGUGAGUGUGAGUGUGAGUGUGAGUGCGUGUGUAGUAUAAAAAUAUACACUGAUUUUUAUACUACACACAUGCACUCAUACUCAGUGUACGUAUACACCAAUAAAGGCAUAAACUGUAUAAACUGAUAAUAUUCGUUAAUAACUGUAUAAACUGAUAAUAAGUGUCUAUAUAGUAAUAUAUAUCAGUAUAUAUA
rnacentral:lncRNA from 1 species